rnacentral:lncRNA from 1 species
UUGGCAAUUUACUUUUAUUGAUGAAAUUCAGAGUUUAUGUUUCAAAUCUAAGUAUUUCCUCUUGAAAGUAACUUAAUCAAAAGCAGUUGAUAAUAGCAGGUUAAUUACCUUGAGUCUUUGCACUGGAAAAACUGGCUGGGUCACCCCAUUACACAACCAUCUAUUAUGAUUAUAUGAUGACUCAUUAUCACGAAGACAAUCUUGUGCCAUUUAAAUCAGCAGGAUUCCAUUUCUUCACCAGAGAACUAUCUCUAAAUACACACACGCAUGCUCACACACUUCUGAGUUUCCCUUUGUUUAUUUUUGCAGCCAACAAAGUAUGUUUUCGAGGUUAACAACGAAGCACAGGAUAGUACAAGUGGAAGAUCAUUAACAUGACUGGAUAGGAACCUCUUUUAAUUUCCCUUUCUUGGCUUUUUCCACACCCUAGGUGGAUUACACUCACCCUGACACACCUAGAAAAUACACCCAGAUACCAGAAUUGCAAAAUUCAGGAAGAAUGCACUGCACACUGUAUCCAGGCAAGCCAAGCUCACCUAAAAAUGGUCUCAAAAAGCAAAGGGCUCUGACCAUCGACUGAUGGGGUUGCAAGCCCAGCCUGUCUGCAGGAAUUUUUAAAUCUGAAACCACACUACAGAAAUUAUUUUAUAUAUUACUUAUUUUUAAAACUCAACUGUAAAAAUAAGUGUUGCAGGAAGAGUGAGGAAGAGGGAAUUUAAAAGAGGAAGUUGGGACUGAAUCUAUUCGUUCCAACCUCCCUAAGCAAUCCACUUAUUGAUCAGUGCUUCCAACUCAAGGAAUAUUUAAAAUUUUUUAAUUAAAGAAAAAAUUCUAUCAAUCAGAGAAUCUUGAAGGUAGGGGGAUCAUUUACAAUCAUUUUACAGGUGAGGAUAUUGAGACCAGCAGGGAGAUGACCUGCCCAAGCCUGCACAGAUAGCAAGGACCAAAGUUGGGAUGAGACUCAAAUAUGCCCUUUCAGAUGUGCUUAUAAAAACAAGUCAGUGUUCACAUUUACUGUAUUAAUAGGAAUGUCUUUCAGGGGGAGUUUACAGAAAAAAAAAAUAAACCGAAUUAAGUUAUGAUGACUAUAUUUUCCAUUGUUUUCAUUUCCUUAAAAAAGGAAAGGCUGUUGAACUUGUGAGUUCUGCAGUCUAUGGUUUUGAAGCUAAGUUAUUACACACAAGCUACCUUGUGUGAACAUGGAAAGACCUUGAUAUAAAGGUAUCUGUCUUGGUGAAUCUGGAUCAACAAGGAAUGGCAGAUCUCUAUACUAGAACAAGGCUGAAGGAAGCAGACCAUUUCUGCAAAAUAAGAGUUUAUCUUUGUCAUAAAUACUUUAGGUUGACAUGGUUCUAUUAUAUCAGGCUCGUUGGUCCCAGGAGGUUGCAUUUUUCCUAAAUGUGCGCCGUUAAGGUAUUGUGUGAUUGAGGAGGGGAAGAAGGCUGGAUGGGAAAUCAUGCAAAGACAAGUGCAUGUGGUAGAGAAGCUUAUAAACGGAGUCAUUUUCAUGUUUAACAGGAGACCACGUUUCUUAAUCUCUAGAUAUCCAGUAUCUUCUUGAAUGAGCUGUGGUAUCACUUUAAAAGAUGGGAUUUUUAACAUUUUUAAUGACCACUUCAAAUUCUCCACCAGCCACGGCAUAGUUGUGUGGGUUUUUCUUUUCAAUUUUGGUAUAAUCACCCAGAUUACAUUUCUCUAUGAGAAACAUUCACCUCGCAUUUUGAAAAGCAUAGAAAAAUUCACUGCCAAGGACUAGCUGGCCAACAGUAGCCCUAGGGAGAUAUAUUUCCGUUCUCCCACCCAGCCUCUCUGCACCCAUCCUCACAAUGACAUACACCAUAGUGGAAGUAACAUAUGACUUAUGGUGGGAAAAAAAAUAACAAAUGAUAAAAUGGGAAGGAGGGCAAGGGGAAAAUAGAGAGACUGCUACCCCACCACCUGAAUGGAAGGGGACCCCAGCACAAGGAGGAGGCUUCAGCUACACUGCACACAUGUCCCCCGGGUGUCUGAACCUGCCAGAAAUCUCUUAGUCCAUUUUCCUCUGGUUGAUAGCACUGCAGAGAAAUUGUUUAAUGUGUGUCUAGGGUA